AUAUUUUGUAGUCGAGGCAAUUACCGUCACAUGAUAAAUUGGACAUUGGCUGGGGCAAGGCUGCGACGGAAACGUAGUAAACGAGGUAAAUCUAACGGUAAAGACAUUGAAUGUGUUAAAAUGUCAGCAUCUGAAGACCUAUUUAAUACCGCAAGACAUGUAAUAGUUGUAAGUUGUCCAUAUUCUUAAUUAGACGUUAACUAUAGAUAAUAUAUGCAUUAACUAUAUUUUAAUUACCUAUUUUUAGGACUUACAAACAAAGAAGAUUGUUUUAAUAAAUCUCAACAUUGACGUAACAUACAUAAAUACUGCUAAGGCUGUUUAUAUGGCUCUCUGAACUCAGCAACUGGCUCAUGUACUUGAAAAUUAUCUUUUGAGCGAGGGCUUUAGAAAUUUAAAUCUUUUUUUGCCAAAUACACAAACAAUAACCAUUAUGCUAGAAUAGCUCAUGUAUUCACCAUACAGUUCAAAAAUGUGGUUUCCAAGAUUUUUUUAGAUUCGAUAACGAAAAUAAAAAUCAGGCACCCGAAAAAAAAAAAAAACCAUUUUCUCUUUUCCCCUUACUCGCAGCGGGGCACCGUAAUAUGGCUAAGACUUGCAAAAUGUGUGCUAACUAGAAAUGGCCCGCUUAAAUGUUGUAAUAAUAGCUUGGCCUAGGUCACAUUUAGCAGGUGUUGUGUGAAAGCUUUACGACGUCAAAUGGAUAACUAUAAAGGGUCUGUUUAUUGAUUUAUAUAGCUUAUGAAUGAUUUUGAUAUGAAAUUAAGAAGCCAA
rnacentral:sRNA from 1 species